rnacentral:rRNA from 1 species
UACGUAGGGGGCAAGCGUUGUCCGGAUUUAUUGGGCGUAAAGCGCGUGUAGGCGGCCACGCAGGUCCGCUGUGAAAACUCGAGGCUCAACCUCGAGCUGUCGGUGGAAACCGCGUGGCUAGAGUCCGGAAGAGGGGACUGGAAUUCCCGGUGUAGCGGUGGAAUGCGCAGAUAGUCGGGAGGAACACCCGUGGCGAAGGCGGGUCCCUGGGACGGUACUGACGCUGAGACGCGAAAGCGUGGGGAGCAAACAGG